ACUCAAAUGAAUUGACGGGGACCCACACAAGCAGUGGAUCAUGUUGUUUAAUUCGACAAUAAACGAGGAACCUUACCCAGGCUUGACAUUGAUGGAACCUACCGGAAACGGUGGGGUGCCCGCAAGGGACCUGAAAACAGGUGCUGCAUGGUUGUCGUCAGCUCGUGCCUUGAGGUGUUCGGUUAAGUCCGUUAACGAGCGCAACCCAUGUCGUUAGUUACUAUGUCUAACGAGACUGCCUGAGUUAAUCAGGAGGAAGGUGUGGAUGACGUCAAAUCAGCAUGGCCCUUAUGCCUGGGGCCACAAACAUGAUACAAUGGUCGGUACAAUGCGCAGCCACCCCGCGAGGGGGAGCCAAUCGCCAAAGCCGAUCUCAGUCCAGAUCGGAGUCUGCAACUCGACUCCGUGAAGUUGGAAUUGCUAGUAAUCGUGAAUCAGCUAUGUCACGGUGAAUCUGUUCCUGGGUCUUGUACACACCGCCCGU
rnacentral:rRNA from 1 species